rnacentral:rRNA from 1 species
AGCGAACGCUGGCGGCAGGCCUAACACAUGCAAGUCGAACGGACCCUUCGGGGUUAGUGGCGGACGGGUGAGUAACACGUGGGAACGUGCCUUUAGGUUCGGAAUAGCUCCUGGAAACGGGUGGUAAUGCCGAAUGUGCCCUUCGGGGGAAAGAUUUAUCGCCUUUAGAGCGGCCCGCGUCUGAUUAGCUAGUUGGUGAGGUAACGGCUCACCAAGGCGACGAUCAGUAGCUGGUCUGAGAGGAUGACCAGCCACACUGGGACUGAGACACGACCCAGACUCCUACGGGAGGCAGCAGUGGGGAAUCUUGCGCAAUGGGCGAAAGCCUGACGCAGCCAUGCCGCGUGAAUGAUGAAGGUCUUAGGAUUGUAAAAUUCUUUCACCGGGGACGAUAAUGACGGUACCCGGAGAAGAAGCCCCGGCUAACUUCGUG